GCUUCCAUAGCUCAGUAGGUAGAGCACUUCCAUGGUAAGGAAGAGGUCAGCGGUUCGAAUCCGCUUGGGCAGCU
rnacentral:tRNA from 1 species